CCUUGAUCUACCAUGCCACCAUGGCCUCCGAUGGUGCUUCUCUGAGAGUUUAGACCCAGAGAAUAGCUUGGAAAAGAUCAAGCGCCAGCUUCCUUCUGGUUUGCGUCAGAACUUGCUCCAGAACCCACUUACCUUUUUCCUGAUUAACUAUAAAUGGCUUCUCUACAUUAGAUUACUGAAAUUGUUAUUAAUUUUGGAGCUUCUGGAUUUUCAGUAAGGAUGAACGCAGUAUCGACACAAGUUGUCUGAGGUUGUAUUUCUUUUUCUGGGUUUUUGUUUUGGUGUUUCAAUUGUGCUAAAUUCUGGGUUUUGGGCAGUCAAUUAUAGAAUCAAUCAUUGGGUUAUUUCAGUAGUGUUGAAAGGUUUUAGUUCUUUAAUUCUGUGUUGGAUGAAUGUAGGGGAAAAUGCUCAUUUAGUAUUGUAUGAGGUUCAGCUAGGGUUCUUGCAAUUACUUCCACAAAUAGUUGAAUUUGAUUUAUGUCAAUUUUUCGGGAUUUUGUAAUUGGGGUUUGUAAUAAAAAAAAACUGAUUUAGCAAAAUGAAGAAUUUAGAGACUACAAAUCAAAAUUUAUUGGGACUUUGUAAUUGAGCAUGUUAUUGAUUGUAGUGUGUCUGUGUUUUUCCUUCAUAUUAUUGAUUGACUGCACCUGUUUUUAGCUUUACAAUAUGCAAUUAAGUGAGCCUAUUUCCUGUUGAAUUUGGAAUUGGAUGUGGUUCAGUUUUAGUUUUUAGAUCUGAAUCAGAUUGGUUUCCUUUUUUACUGAAUUGGAAAUUCAUGCAAAUUUUAAUACCAUAUGCUCAGUUUUCUAUUAUUAAUGUUAUGGUUUCAUUAACUAUUCUGCAUUUUCUUUGUGUUCAAGUGCAGCUUU